UGCGUCGAGUUUAAAAACCCGAAUGGGGUUAUUUGGGCCGCGAUCUUGAGGGACAUUAACACCAAUUAACACUGAGGGUUGUUAACUUACUCGGUUCAGUUUCGCGCCAAAUGCAGCGCCGCGUGGGCCUCAGUCGCCAUCUUUGUGCGAUCCAGGGAGGUCGUGUCUGUGCUGCGUCUGACGUCUUGUUGAAUACGGCUCAAGAUGAGCAGAAUGAAGGUAAAUCUCCAAGUCCCACAGUCAGAGCUCAAGACUGUGGGGCAGGACUUCAUUCCUUGAUGAAUGCGGCUCAACUGCCAACAGGAUAAGAAGACACGAACCAGGAGAAGUUGGACGCUUUUUAGAAUUUCCUCUCGUACCGCUAUAGUGUCAUGGGUGGAGGGGAGCGAGGCUGCCAUCUCCGAAGACAACACGCCUCUGAGUGUGCGGCGUGCGCCUCCUAGUUUGUGCGGCAACGUUCCCCGUGUUCAAUGAGAAAAUUCAAUGCCCCAGCGGUCAGAACUCCCAGCUAAUAUUGACGCAAUAGCUCUCCCAAAUGUCGACCGGAAAGUCGUUAAAAAAUCGUUGCGACGAUCGGCUCGACAAGCUGAAGACCGCGCCAGUGAAUGCAUGUGAAACGGCACCUCUACUCUCCCAUCGCCAGGCCCAAAGACGUGUUGUUCAUAGGUGUCUUUCACAAUACUAGUGUUGCUGAUCGCGGAGGACCACUGUCCACUGCUCGUCCGCCAUGGUGUUACUUCUGAUGAGGCUCAGAGCGCAUGUGUAUUGUUUACUGUGCAAACAAUCUGUUGAAAUAUAUAAUGAGUAGAUCUGUACUCUGAGA
rnacentral:lncRNA from 1 species